rnacentral:lncRNA from 1 species
GACCAGAUGCCAAGGGUGCCAGAAUCUGCUCGACCGCGCGAAGGCGAGCAGAAUCCCAAGCAUUGAAGAAUUUUCUAAGGCAUGCAAAGGCUCACGAAGUCUCGAAGCCUGUUUAUGGCGAGACCAGAAGCCAAGCGUGCCAGGAUCUGCUCGACCACGCGAAGGCGAGCAGAAUCCCAAGCAUUGAAGAAUUUUCUAAGGCAUGAAAAGGCUCAUCAAGUCUCAAAGCCUGUUUAUGGCGAGACCAGAUGCCAAGCGUGCCAGAAUCUGCUCGUCCGCGCGAAGGCGAGCCGAAUCCCAAGCAUUGAAGAAUUUUCUAAGGUAUGCAAAGGCUCAUCAAGUUUCAAAGCCUGUUUAUGGCGACACCGGAUGCCAAGCGUGCCAGGAUCUGCUCGACCGCGCGAAGGCGAGCAGAAUCCCAAGCAUUGAAGAAUUUUCUAAGGCAUGCAAAGGCUCACGAAGUCUCAAAGCCUGUUUAUGGCGAGACCAGAAGCCAAGCGUGCCAGGAUCUGCUCGACCGCGCGAAGGCGAGCAGAAUCCCAAGCAUUGAAGAAUUUUCUAAGGCAUGCAACGGCUCACUAAAUCUCAAAGCCUGUUUAUGGGGAGACCAAAAGCCAAGCGUGCCAGGAUCUGCUCGACCGCGCGAAGGCGAGCAGAAUCCCAAGCAUUGAAGAAUUUUCUAAGGCAAGCGAAUGCUCACGAAGUCUCGACGCCUGUUUAUGGCGAGACCAGAAGCCAAGCGUGCCAGGAUCUGCUCGACCACGCGAAGGCGAGCAGAAUCCCAAGCAUUGAGGAAUUUUCUAAGGCAUGCAAAGGCUCAUCAAGUUUCAAAGCCUGUUUCUGGCUAGACCAGAUGCCAAGCGUGGCAGAAUCUGCUCGACCGCGCGAAGGCGAGCAGAAUCCCAAGCAUUGAAGAAUUUUCUAAGGCAUGCAAAGGCUCAUCAAGUCUCAAUGCCUGUUUAUGGCGAGACCAGAUGCCAAGCGUGCCAGAAUCUGCUCGACCGCAAGAAGGCGAGCAGAAUCCCAAGCAUUGAAGAAUUUUCUAAGGCAUGCAAAGGCUCAUCAAGUCUCAAUGCCUGUUUAUGGCGAGACCAGAUGCCAAGCGUGCCAGAAUCUGCUCGACCGCAAGAAGGCGAGCAGAAUCCCAAGCAUUGAAGAAUUUUCUAAGGCAUGCAAUGGCUCAUAGAGUUUCAAAGCCUGUUUAUGGCGACACCAGAUGCCAAGCGUGCCAGGAUCUGCUCGACCGCGCGAAGGCGAGCAGAAUCCCAAGCAUUGAAGAAUUUUCUAAGGCAUGCAAAGGCUCAUCAAGUCUCAAAGCCUGUUUAUGGCGAGACCAGAUGCCAAGCGUGCCAGAAUCUGCUCGACCGCGCGAAGGCGAGCAGAAUCCCAAGCAUUGAAGAAUUUUCUACGUCAUGCAAAGGCUCACAAAGUCUCAAAGCCUUUUUAUGGCGAGACCAGAAGCCAAGCGUGCCAGGAUCUACUCGACCGCACGAAGGCGAGCAGAAUCCCAAGCAUUGAAGAAUUUUCUAAGGCAUGCAAAGGCUCAUCAAGUCUCAAAGCCUGUUUAUGGCGAGACCAGAUGCCAAGCGUGCCAGAAUCUGCUCGACCGCAAGAAGGCGAGCAGAAUCCCAAGCAUUGAAGAAUUUUCUAAGGCAUGCAAUGGCUUAUAGAGUUUCAAAGCCUGUUUAUGGCGACACCAGAUGCCAAGCGUGCCAGGAUCUGCUCGACCGCGCGAAGGCGAGCAGAAUCCCAAGCAUUGAAGAAUUUUCUAAGGCAUGCAAAGGCUCAUCAAGUCUCAAAGCCUGUUUAUGGCGAGACCAGAUGCCAAGCGUGCCAGAAUCUGCUCGACCGCGCGAAGGCGAGCAGAAUCCCAAGCAUUGAAGAAUUUUCUAAGGCAUGCAAAGGCUCAUCAAGUCUCAAAGCCUGUUUAUGGCGAGACCAGAAGCCAAGCGUGCCAGGAUCUGCUCGACCACGCGAAGGCGAGCAGAAUCCCAAGCAUGAAGGAAUUUUUAAGGGCAUGCAAAGGCUCAUCAAGUUUUCAAAGCCUGUUUCUGGCUAGACCAGAUGCCAAGCGUGGCAGAAUCUGCUCGACCGCGCGAAGGCGAGCAGAAUCCCAAGCAUUGAAGAAUUUUGUAAGGCAUGCAAAGGCUCAUCAAGUCUCAAUGCCUGUUUAUGGCGAGACCAGAUGCCAAGCGGGCCAGAAUCUGCUCGACCGCGCGAAGGCGAGCAGAAUCCCAAGCAUUGAAGAAUUUUCUAAGGCAUGCAAAGGCUCACGAAGUCUCAAAGCCUGUUUAUGGCGAGACCAGAAGCCAAGCGUGCCAGGAUCUGCUCGACCACGCGAAGGCGAGCAGAAUCCCAAGCAUUGAGGAAUUUUCUAAGGCAUGCAAAGGCUCAUCAAGUUUCAAAGCCUGUUUCUGGCUAGACCAGAUGCCAAGCGUGGCAGAAUCUGCUCGACCGCGCGAAGGCGAGCAGAAUCCCAAGCAUUGAAGAAUUUUCUAAGACAUGCAAAUGCUCACCAAGUCUCAAAGCCUGUUUAUGGCGACACCAGAUGCCAAGAGUGCCAGGAUCUGCUCGACCGCGCGAAGGCGAGCUGAAUCCCAAGCAUUGAAGAAUUUUCUAAGGCAUGCAAAGGCUCACGAAGUCUCAAAGCCUGUUUAUGGCGAGACCAAAAGCCAAACGUGCCAGGAUCUGCUCGACCGCGCGAAGGCGAGCAGAAUACCAAGCAUUGAAGAAUUUCCUAAGGGAUGCAAAGGCUCAUCAAGUGUCAAAGCCUGUUUAUGGCCAGACCAGAUACCAAGGGUGCCAGAAUCUGCUCGACCGCGCGAAGGCGAGCAGGAUCCCAAGCAUUGAAGAAUUUUCUAAGGCAUGCAAUGGCUCAUCAAGUUUCAAAGCCUGUUUAUGGCGACACCAGAUGCCAAGCGUGCCAGGAUCUGCUCGACCGCGCGAGGGCGAGCAGAAUCCCAAGCAUUGAAGAAUUUUCUACGUCAUGCAAAGGCUCACAAAGUCUCAAAGCCUGUUUAUGGCGAGACCAGAAGCCAAGCGUGCCAGGAUCUGCUCGACCGCACGAAGGCGAGCAGAAUCCCAAGCAUUGAAGAAUUUUCUAAGGCAUGCAAAGGCUCAUCAAGUCUCAAAGCCUGUUUAUGGCGAGACCAGAUGCCAAGCGUGCCAGAAUCUGCUCGACCGCGCGAAGGCGAGCAGAAUCCCAAGCAUUGAAGAAUUUUCUAAGGCAUGCAAAGGCUCACGAAGUCUCGAAGCCUGUUUAUGGCGAGACCAGAAGCCAAGCGUGCCAGGAUCUGCUCGACCGCGCGAAGGCGAGCAGAAUCCCAAGCAUUGAAGAAUUUUCUAAGGCAUGCAAAGGCUCAUCAAGUCUCAAAGCCUGUUUAUGGCGAGACCAGAUGCCAAGCGUGCCAGAAUCUGCUCGACCGCGCGAAGGCGAGCCGAAUCCCAAGCAUUGAAGAAUUUUCUAAGGUAUGCAAAGGCUCAUCAAGUUUCAAAGCCUGUUUAUGGCGACACCGGAUGCCAAGCGUGCCAGGAUCUGCUCGACCGCGCGAAGGCGAGCAGAAUCCCAAGCAUUGAAGAAUUUUCUAAGGCAUGCAAAGGCUCACGAAGUCUCAAAGCCUGUUUAUGGCGAGACCAGAAGCCAAGCGUGCCAGGAUCUGCUCGACCGCGCGAAGGCGAGCAGAAUCCCAAGCAUUGAAGAAUUUUCUAAGGCAUGCAACGGCUCACUAAAUCUCAAAGCCUGUUUAUGGCGAGACCAAAAGACAAGCGUGCCAGGAUCUGCUCGACCGCGCGAAGGCGAGCAGAAUCCCAAGCAUUGAAGAAUUUUCUAAGGCAAGCGAAUGCUCACGAAGUGUCGACGCCUGUUUAUGGCGAGACCAGAAGCCAAGCGUGCCAGGAUCUGCUCGACCACGCGAAGGCGAGCAGAAUCCCAAGCAUUGAGGAAUUUUCUAAGGCAUGCAAAGGCUCAUCAAGUUUCAAAGCCUGUUUCUGGCUAGACCAGAUGCCAAGCGUGGCAGAAUCUGCUCGACCGCGCGAAGGCGAGCAGAAUCCCAAGCAUUGAAGAAUUUCUAAGACAUGCAAAUGCUCACCAAGUCUCAAAGCCUGUUUAUGGCGAGACCAGAUGCCAAGCGUGCCAGAAUAUGCUCGACCGCGCGAAGGUGAGCAGAAUCCCAAGCAUUGAAGAAUUUUCUACGUCAUGCAAAGGCUCACAACGUCUCAAAGCCUGUUUAUGGCGAGACCAGAUGCCAAGCUUGCCAGGAUCUGCUCGACCGCACGAACGCGAGCAGAAUCCCAAGUAUUGAAGAAUUUUCUAAGGCAUGCAAAGGCUCAUCAAGUUUCAAAGCCUGUUUAUGGCGAGACCAGAUGCCAAGCGUACCAGGAUCUGCUCGACCGCGCGAAGGCG